rnacentral:SRP_RNA from 1 species
GUCGGGCGUGGUGGUGCGUGCCUAAAGUCCUAGCUAUUCGGGAGGCUGAGGUGGGAGGAUCGCUUGAGCCCAGGAGUUCUGGGCUGUAGUGCGCUAUGCCACACUAAGUUCGGCAUCAAUAUGGUGACCUCCCAGGAGCCGGGGACCACCAGGUUGCCUAAGGAGAGGUGAACCGGCCCAGGUCAGAAACAGCAGAUCAAAACUCCUGUGCUGAUCAGUAGUGGGAUCACGCCUGUGAAUAGUCACUGCACUCCAGCCUGGGCAACAUAGCGAGAUGCUGUCUCU